rnacentral:tRNA from 5 species
GGUCCCAUCGUCUAGGCUGGUCUAGGACGGCACCCUCUCAAGGUGCAGACACGGGUUCAAAUCCCGUUGGGAUCACCA